AUUGAACGCUGGCGGCGUGCUUAACACAUGCAAGUCGAUCGGUAACAGGUGUAGCAAUACAUGCUGACGAGAGGCGGACGGGUGAGGAAUAUUUGGGAAUCUGCCCAUCAGCGGGGGACAACCCGGGGAAACCCGGGCUAAUACCGCAUACGCUCUACGGAGGAAAGCCGGGGACCGCAAGGCCUGGCACUGAUGGAUGAGCCCAAAUCGGAUUAGCUAGUUGGCGGGGUAACGGCCCACCAAGGCGACGAUCCGUAGCUGGUCUGAGAGGACGAUCAGCCACACCGGAACUGAGACACGGUCCGGACUCCUACGGGAGACAGCAGUGGGGAAUAUUGGACAAUGGGGGAAACCCUGAUCCAGCGACGCCGCGUGGGUGAAGAAGGCCUGCGGGUUGUAAAGCCCUUUCGGUAGGGACGAAAGCUCUUGCUCUAAUAAUGCAAGAGGUUGACUUAACCUACAUAAGAAGCACCGGCUAACUCUGUGCCAGCAGCCGCCGUAAGAC
rnacentral:rRNA from 1 species